GAAGCUGGAAAACCAGAGGAGGAUCGCUGUUAAGCGCAUUAAUGGAAUGGCUUGGCCUGAUGCUCGACAAUUUUUGGUAGCCAACUUCUUUUAUCACUAUUAACUUCACCAGAUAAUUCUGUCGUCUCAGUACUAUCUUUGCUUUCACCAGCGAACAUGAACAACUAGCCAUGAAAUUCGUCUGGACUACUUGCACUUCAUUUAA
rnacentral:misc_RNA from 1 species